rnacentral:rRNA from 1 species
UACGUAGGGGGCUAGCGUUAUCCGGAAUCACUGGGCGUAAAGGGUGCGUAGGUGGUUUCUUAAGUCAGAGGUGAAAGGCUACGGCUCAACCGUAGUAAGCCUUUGAAACUGGGGAACUUGAGUGCAGGAGAGGAGAGUGGAAUUCCUAGUGUAGCGGUGAAAUGCGUAGAUAUUAGGAGGAACACCAGUUGCGAAGGCGGCUCUCUGGACUGUAACUGACACUGAGGCACGAAAGCGUGGGGAGCAAACAGG